rnacentral:rRNA from 1 species
UGAGGAAUAUUGCGCAAUGGGCGAAAGCCUGACGCAGCGACGCCGCGUGAGGGAUGAAGGCCUUAGGGUCGUAAACCUCUGUCAGUAGGGAAGAAAAGCCAUCGUUAACUGCGGUGGUGUUGACGGUACCUACAAAGGAAGCACCGGCUAACUCCGUG